GUACUUAGUUGCAGUCCACAAAUUGCAUGAGGAAAAGGUAUUAAAUGUACUUCCUAUAUGAUGAGUUUUAGGAUUCAGACUUUGACUUGCAGAGAAUGGGAUUUUAGAGUAUCUGCAUGUACACCUUAACACCUGAGAUGUUUCAAAUCAUCAUGGUGUUGAAUUUUUCAUCAAAGGUACCCACAUCCUAAACAAACCUGUGUUUCAAUAUUUGAUGGUCCACAUGUAACAGAAGACGGACAUCCCGCUGCACUGAAGAUGAACCUGUGAUUGAGAGCGCACACUUCUAGGAAAUACAACAUCCUCGUGAUGUGAUGCAGUUUAUAUCUGUGCUGAGAUCGUCUCGCUCUCACACGUAUCGUAUGAUUGUUGUCACUGAAUUUACUGCGCUUUGAUGACACACAGGGAUGCCGGCCCGAUCUCGCGGUCGGGGAUGGACACAUGAAUGCGCAGGAUGCAUGAGUGUAAACAAAUACAAAUAUCAACCUCUCCUCUGUCUAUCUGAUAAGCACAAACACACACACACUCUCAGCUCUAUCAGGCUCAUCUUACAGCCCGGACUGUCGCUCUUCAUUAGCUGCUUCACUGUCGGUUACUUUAUACAGAGUGAGUGCAGCUGAUCGGCAUCUCAGUCAAAAUAUGCAGGACACUAAAUACAGCUGAAGCCCACUGAUGUUAUGUUACAUGAUAUUAUACUCUAUGAAUAUUCAAAAUAACUGCACGAGCCACUUUGUCUGCAGGCUUACACUUGGAUAGUGGAUCUGACCUGAAUUCCUCUUGAAUGUUUAGUUACUAUUUUGGACCGUGAAGCAAAACAGACUCAUGAGGUCGAAAAGUGACUUUAGUUUGCACCGAAUGUUCACUGUGUGUCCUAUAAAUCCUUUACCUAAGGUUGUGUUUUGUCUUCGGUCUGCUUUCAAAGCUUUCUGCAGAUCAUCACAUCCAUCAGAUUUUCCAAGGCCGAUCACGAGGGCGGCAAAGUCCUUAAUAACCUCUGAGUAAAAUCUGACAAGUGAAACUGACACAUCCUGACACUUUGAUUGUCUAUCAGUCCAGUGAGUGACAUCUUCUUCAACUUGCUUUUACUUCAUGUGACUCUUACUGUCUCUCUUUAUGAUCAUCCUCUCGACAGUUUGUCUGUUUCUCUUUGUUUUUGUUUUUUAGAAAGCUUGUUGUCCCCGAGAAGAUUCCCCCUAAAGCCUGAAGUGUUUGCUGUCCGCGGUUUCAGUGCCUGGAUGCCCAGUUGAGUAUGAGCUUGAAUAAGCCCAAAACAAUGUCUGAUAGUUUUGAGAAGAAUAGUUCUUCUGACUGUACUGAAUCUUUAGAAUCUGUUCAUUAAAAUUAUUCGCUCAAAAGAUUCAUCUCCUGAAUCAGUCAGUGCUUUAGAGCCCCAUCCUGCCAGGUGCAGUUCAUGAGUGAGUGACAGCGGCGUAGAUCAAAAGUUCGUUCAUUGAGUGAGUUCCUCCCCUCCCCUGCUGCUGAAGUCUCAGCGUCGUUCACUGGGUGUAGCAUGUCGUUCGUUCGCCAAGUCGUGAAGGAAGAAUCACUCCCCCACCUCUCUGUGUGUCACCGACGUUCACAUCUCGAUUAAAACAACACAGAAACGAGAAUGAGUCGUCAUUCAUUUAUUUUGCAGAAAAGUGGAGAGAAUAAAAAUAAAUGAACAUCGUAGCUGUACCGUGGAUUCUGAUACUUUUAAAGAUAUCAAAUGGCAGUUCCUGGACAACGCUACACCCCUCCCUCCUCCACCUGCCUCAAGUCGUUCAGAAGUCAUUCGCUUGUUCACAGUCUGACUGAUACAUGUCAUUCAUUCGCUGUGAGCAAAUCACGAGACUCCGCCCGCCCGCCCGCUUGUUCUCUGGCUGGUUGUGUGUCGUUCAGCAAAGAGUCAAAGGCGGCAGUUCCACUCCCAACCGGUAUGCCACGCUCACGGCUGGGCUCAACUGAACUGAGAAAGGAACGAAUCAGGUCUCAGAGUGAUUCCAUUCACAUUGUUCACUCAGCAGUUCUGUUUUUUUGAAUGAAUCGUUCAUGAACAACACAAGAUUAAUGUUUGAGAACUGUAUGAAGAUAUCUAAAAACACGCCGUGAACGAGCGCAGACAGCUCAAAAGUUUGCUUUUCAGGAACGAUGCCUCUGAAGCAAACAACCCGUGUCUUUGUUUUCCCUGGGAGGUCAGUCUCACAUGAUUUGUUACCUGUAUGCCGUAACACGUGAAGCUGCAGAUGAACAACGGGGUAAUAACUAGAGGUUGAGACCUCCCAUCACUUUCCUCUGUCUUUUCCUCUGUGUCUUCCCCGUUAUUUCCAAGAAACAGCUGAAUCCCGCUGUGACCUUGCUCCGCUCGAUUCACCUCCGAGCUCCACCUCGCUGAGCAGUAAAAAAAAAAUGAAAUAAAAAAGAUAAGAGGCUAUCCGUCUUAGAGAGAGAGAAAAGGAGGACAAGCAGAAGAAAUGAAAGACAUCCUGGAUACGGAAGGAGGGGAAAGGGUGAGGAGAAAAAUUAAGGUGGAGAUAGACUAAAAACAGAGAAGGAGGAUGGAAGGAGAUGUGCGAUGAGGAAAAGAGUGAGGUGAGGGGACUUAAAGGAGUCAUAUGUCAAAAAGGAAAUAGAGGAGGAAAUGACAAAAGCAGAAGAUAAAGAAGAAGAGAAGAAGAAGAAAGGGGAGUUAACAUUUAUCACUGAAUUCAUAAAGAGCCUGUCAAUGCAAAGAUGGAGGGCGAGAAAAGGAGAGAAAGAGCGGUCGUGAGGCAGAAUAAAGGGCGGAGGAGCUCAGUAAAGGAUUCCAGUAUAUCAAUAUGAAAGAGGGAGAGACAGCUUUAAGUGAUUUAGUCAAUAAGAUGUUCUUCUGCCGGCCUUGACUCUCAGCUGCCUCACCGACUCCUGCUCCUCCUCACAUCCUUUUCUCUUUUUUUCAAACCUUUUAACCAGCCGCAGAGAAAUGACACGUUUCACAGGAGAAGGAGAGGAGGUCAAACCGUUUUACUGCUUAUAGCUUACAUAUAAAACCAGGCGCUGUCGUUUCAGGUUUACACCCAUGUCUCACAUGUCCGUCUACUGGAGUGAAUCAAGAGACGGAUUCCCGGGGGCUCUUCUGUCUUCUGUGUGUGCGACUCGUUUUGACCCCUUCAUGAGGAUGAAAUCAUUUACAGUUAAUAUUCUCCAUUAGAAAUGCCACAACCUGCAGUUUUAUGGGUUGUUGCCGCUGAGGUAUCCAGUUUGCAUGAUAUCAUAUCUGGAUGCUCAUACUCCCACACAUCUUAUUUGAUUUCUUCUGCAAGCUGCUGCCAAAAAUGGGGGUUGUAUUGGCUCUCUAACACCUCCUUUUAUGUCAUAUGCAUAUAGAUUAUUCGACGGUUGUACUUCUAGAGAGCUUCUCAAAGCAACAAACCAAUUUUUCUGUCUUUUUUUUCUGACCCUCUUGAUUUCACACGAUGCUUUUACUCUGAAGUUGUGUCCAAAAUUGUUAUUUAGUGAAUAAAGUAACUCACAGAGCUCUUUUCUGAAGCUUACACUGAACUUUGAUUGAAAAAAAUGAUCAUAAUUCACAUUGGCUGCAGGUAAGCUAUGUUAGUUAUUAAAGGGAUAUUCCAGCAUAAAUUUAAGUUAUGGUCAAACACACCAUAACACCGAGUUAGACACCCCCUCGAGAGAUGAAUGUUGCUAACUGCUUGCUUCUCUAGUUUUACCAACUUUAGUAACGACCGCAGGAUAGCAAUACAAGGAGCCACACACUCAACCAAAACGCCACUCUAUAGCCACAAAUAAUGCUCAGAACAGCACCUAACUUCAUCAUCAGUACAUAUAGGGUCCCAGCCAUAGUACUAGACACCAAACAUCUUUUUAACUUUGACUAAUUUCUUUAGCAAAGAGAGUAAACACAACUCACCUACUCUCCUCCAGCAGCUGCUUGUUUGUGGGGGAGCCCUGACGAUAAUCAUCAUAUUAAUCAUUUUGUACUGCAGACAUGGUAAUUCUUCUGCCUUAGCGUCUCGGUCUAAUUGCAUUUCCAUGAAGUAAUAAUUAUAAGUGUUCUUCCUUGAGCUGCGAAACUCCGCUGCACUCAGUGAUCAACUUGUCAGGGUGUAUUGCUAUCGUGUGGUCAUCACUGAAGUUGGUAUAACUAGAGAAGCAAACAGUCGGCAACAUUAAUCUCUCGACAGGGGUGUCUAGCUCUGCGUUACGAUGUGUUUGACCUUAACUUAAUUUUACGCCGGAAUAGCCCUUUAAUAACUACUUAAUACCAGUUCACAGGGACUUUUCCAUCUUUUGCAACUACCCUCUCUUUUUGCAGCCCUGCAACAGCUGACCCCUUAUCAUCCCUUUGAAAACAUGAUGUAAAACUCUUGAGAUGAUGCAAAGGCGCUGAUUUCUGGUGUGAGAGGUGUUCUAGUUUCGACAUCCAAGUUCAAGUAAUUCAGUUGGCUGUGAUUGUUUGUGUGUAACGAGCCUCUGUGGAGAGCAAAGAGAUGACAACCACGACACACAAUCUGGCAUUAUGAAACCAGGAUCCCAUCAACUGCCAUCUGACGCUGAUUAAUCUGUAAUUAAUCUAUAUAUCAACUCACAUCUGCAUGCAAGUGCUGCUCACAAACAGCUCAUGGGUUUGGUCUUAAUUCCUCGUUCAGUUUUGAGGUAAUUUUCUGCUAAUUUUUAACUCCUUUGUUUAUAAUUUGUCACUUCCUCAUAUGUUCUGGAGGUUUGUUUCACACUAACACCAGUUUAUCCCCGUUUAUGUAGGAAACGCCACACCAACAAGUCAUCAAAACUCUUCCAGAGGCUAAAAUUUGACUUAGUCUUCUGAAAAUACUCAAAUUACAAAAACUGCAAAGGCUUUUAAGACUCUAUUCAUGUUUUCAGUUCCCUCUCUAACCACACAUUUCGUCCCAAGCCUACCUCUGCAAAUCAGCUCUUAUUCCUCAAAAUGUGCUGAAGGAAUACAUUUGACUUGAUUUGCAUGAAAAUACUGAUUCUCAAGUCUUUAUUCAUUUUUCUUGUUUUAUCAUUUCCAAUGAUUAUCUAAAAAAGAGGCUGCAUGCUCUCAGGUCUCAUGUAGCAUCAUUUUUUGUCUCCUGACUCUUUAUGUAGAUCAAUCUUUGAACGCACAGAUGCAAAUAAAAGCAGGGUGCCUCAGGAUCACAAGAAAUUAGCAAAUGUAUCAGAAAAAUGCGUUCUUUACAGCGAAUGACUCAUGCGGAGAGGAGCAGAGGGAGCUGUGUGUGUGUGUGUGUGUGUGUGUGUGUGUGUGUGUGUGUGUGUGUGUGUGUGUGUGUGUGUGUGUGGUGUUUGUCAGUGGGUGAGAAAAUGUGCCGGUUUCAUUUUUUGAGAUUGCACAGAGAAGGAACACGGUGUGCAUUACAAACUCGGAGCAGUGGUGGAACUGAUUUCAGAUCAUUUCACACAUACAAACACACAAGUACGCAUGUGUUAACGCACGCUGGCAGAUCUGUGCACACACUUGUACAAAAGCACUUUUCACACAUAGUCUCACAAACACACACUCGCCGCUCACAGAGCCAGUGUCAGUGGAGGAGACAGAUGCAUGGUGACAGGGCUGCAGUGCUCUGGAUUAAUACACUUAGUGUUCCACAUGUCAAAGCGCAUCACUGCAAUCAUGAACAUUUUAGGCAUCUCUCUCUCUCUCUCUCUCUCUCUCUCUCUCUCUCUCUCUCUCUCUCUCUCUCUCUCUCUCUCUCUCUGUCAACCGUCCCUCUCUCUCUCUCCUUGAUUACUUCUAACGCCGAGACCAGCUGUCCAAUCAUUCAGCCAUCCAGCCAAGCAGUCGGUCACCCAGCAAACUGGCAAACAUCAAGCUGGCAGACCAACACCCACCAACCAGCGCACUCACGCUGGGGACGCCGACAACCUGCCACCGACAAAACAACCCAGCGCACCAAUGCACCCCAACAUCAGAGGACAAACAAGG